GUAAUUAACAUUUCGAUUAACAGAGAAAUAAACUAUUUGACACUAAUAAUGAAGAAAGUCUUCAAAGGCGAUUAAACUGCAUGCGAUAGUAAGUCUUGGUAGUAAAUGUUCAUUUACACACAACUCGCUAACUCCCUGGACCCCCCAAAGAACCACUUUCAACGCUAGCAAUUUAACAUCAGUAUUUCCCUACGAGUAGUCGAGAGAACUGUGGUGGCAGAGGAUGAUUUGAAGCAGGGAAAGUUGGCAUUUAUGUUUAAAUCCGAUUGAGAUAGAUGGUAGCUUGCGCCAGAGAAAAACAUGUUGACAUUGAAAGGGUUUGCAAAACAAUUGCCGAUAAAAUGAUGCCAAUUUGAGAGUUUAUGUAUCGAAAAGUUUUACUCCGUUCUUACUUAUCUUUAAGUUCUAGUUUAGAGACCUCUUGAAGCAACAUAAACGGCGAGAUCGACAAGUCUGUUUGAGUAACCAGAUUCGUUAUCAUACCAUGAAAUGAGUUUAACAAAUGAAUCAUUGAGUGCAAUGCAUGCAUUCUUGUCGAAGAUAGAAGAAUACUUGCAACCAAUGAAAUCGGUCGAGACGACAUCAUCGCUUGUGUAGCCCAUAAUUCCCUUCAUUGGACCAUUGGAUGCUUCCUUAACGGCUUGAUAGAUUUCCUCUAUAGAGGCUGGUUUUGCAAGCUUGCAUGUUAAAUCAACAACGGAAACAUCUGGAGUUGGGACACGGAUGGCCAUACCUGUGAGCUUUCCAUUCAAAGCUGGGAUGACCUUACCUACGGCCUUAGCUGCUCCAGUACUUGCUGGAAUAAUGUUGUUCCCAGCGCAUCUUCCUGCUCUCCAGUCCUUGCCACCCUUGCUUGGACCAUCAACAGUUAAUUGGUUAGCAGUAAGAGAGUGAACAGUUGUCAUCAAACCUUCAACAAUUCCAAACUUGUCAUUAAUAAUCUUAGCCAAAGGAGCAAGACAGUUUGUUGUGCAAGAAGCGUUAGAGAUAACGUUGAAUUUUGAUGGGUCAUAUUCAGUGUUAUUUACUCCCAUGACAUACAUUGGGACAUUGUCCUUUGGUGGAGCAGAGAUAAUGACCUUCUUGGCACCGCCUUUAAGAUGCAAUGAAGCCUUCUCCUCUGUUGUGAAUACACCAGUUGACUCGCAUACAAUUUGAGCACCUGAAGCACCCCAUGGGAUUUCUGCUGGGUCCUUAGCUUGGAAUACCUUUACUACCUUACCGUUGAUGCAUAAAUCCUUGCCUGAUACCUCAACUGUACCAUUGAAGUUACCAUGAACUGAAUCAUACUUCAAGAGGUAAGCCAUAUAUUCAACGUCCAUGAAUGGAUCAUUUAUUGCUACUACUGUAAUGUCAUUUCUUUCCAUACAGGCUCUCAAAACUAAACGACCAAUACGUCCGAAACCGUUAAUUCCCAAAGUUGCAGUCAUCUUUAAGUUAUAUAU
rnacentral:antisense_RNA from 1 species